UUGGACGGCCAGAGGGGCGUGGGUCACCCGAUCCCGUUUCGAUCUCGGAAGUUAAGAACGUCUCCGUACUGAUUUGUACUGCGUUACGUGGGAACAUCGGUAAGCUGUCCUCC
rnacentral:rRNA from 1 species